rnacentral:rRNA from 1 species
GACAGAGGUGCCAAGCGUUAGGCGGAAUCACUGGGCUUAAAGCGUGUGUAGGCGGGGGCCUAAGUAACUUGUGAAAUCCCUCGGCUCAACCGAGGAAGUGCAUCCGAAACUGCGAGGCUCGAGUAUGGAAGAGGGUCGCAGAAUUCCCGGUGUAGAGGUGAAAUUCGUAGAUAUCGGGAGGAAUACCAGCGGCGAAGGCGGCGACCUGGGCCAAUACUGACGCUGAGGUGCGAAAGCGUGGGGAGCAAACAGG